rnacentral:lncRNA from 1 species
AGGCGUGAUUGUGUUUUGAAAUGUGAGAGGUACAUGAGAUUUGUGGGGGGAGCAGGGCAAAAUGAUAUGGUUUAGCUCUGUUCUCCCCACCAAAUCUCAUGUCAAAUUGUAAUCUCCCAUGUUUGAGGAGGUGCCUGGUGGAAGGUGAUUGAAUCAUGGUAGUGGACUUUCCCCUUGCUGUUCUCAUGAUAGUGAGUAAAUUUUCAUGAGAUCUGGUUGUUUAAAAGUGUGUAACACUUCCCCUUUUGGUCUCUCUCCUGAUUCACCACGUGAAGAUAUGCCUGCUUCCCCUUCACAUUCUGCCAUGAUUGUGAGUUUCCUGAGGCCUCCUCAGCCAUGAUUCCUGUACAGCAUAUGUAACUAAUCGGGGGUACAUGUGCAGAUUUUUAACAAAGGUAUAUUGCUUGAUGCUGAGAUUUGGAGUAUGAAUGAAUCUGUCACCAAGUUAGUAAGUAUAAUACCCAACAAGUAUUUUUUUAAUUCCUCCCCUUACUCACUCCUCUAGUACUUCCCAGUGUCUUGUUCCCAUCUUUGUGUCCACAUGUACCCAAUGUUUAGCUCCCUUAUAAGCGAGAGCAUGUAUUUGGUUUUCUGUUUCCACGUUAGUUCACUUAGGAUAAUGGCCUCCAGCUGCAUCCAUGUUGCUGCAAAAAGACAUGAUUUCAUUCUCUUUAUAGCUGUGUAGUAUUCCAUGGUGCAUAUGUACCAUAUUUUCAUUAUCCAAUUCACUGUUGACGGGCACCUGGGUUUAUUCCAUGUUUCUGCUAUUGUGAAUAGUGACUUGCCUACCUUUAAUUUACUUUAAAAUAUAUCAACAUUGAUGUGUGAUAUUAUGUAUGUGUUAUUUAGUUUAAUUUAUACCCUUAAUUGGUAAUUCACUUUCCAGGAAUGAUCACCUAGCAUGUAACAGAAAGUCCACACUUCAGAGAAAUGUACUACAAGGACUUCGGCUAUCUUUUUAUCUUGUCAGUGCUAGAUUUUUGCUGAUUAAAAUAAUGCAUAUAAGAAAUGGGGCUUCAUUUGUGAAAAUCAUGCUUGUAUGAAAGCAUAAUGAAUAUUACAAAUAGGUCCUUAUUGGUAACAGUAGUGGUAUUUAAGAUAUGAGUGUUGUCUAAAGAUUUAGAGAUACCUCCCACCCUUGCAUGAAAGGAUCUUUGGACACAAAGCUUGAGGCUUAGAUCUUACUUGCACUGGAGUCCAGACAGUGCAGUGGAGAAUUCUGUUUUUGUGAUGGCAGAUAUAGUAUUAGCCAAAUCUUGCCUCCAGAUUAUUGUUAUAAUUGUUUCAAGUAAACGUUUUAAGCAAGGUGGUCUUCAG